ACUUCUGUGUUUUUAUACGUGAAAAGGGAAGAAUUCAGUGGAUGUAAGUAUGCACCUGGUCCCAACAAAUGGAAGCCUAGAAUUUCACAGAGAGAAGAAAUCAAAUGGCAGCCAUGUGGGGACUAGUCGGGAGAAAGAACAAAACAAUCCAUGGCUGGUCCAGGCUGUGAGGUGGUGAAGUGAUAGGCUGUUUCUGGUUUAUUUUUUGGUAGUUCUGCAGAUAAUAAUUUAUGGGUUGUGCUUUUUUCUGAGACUCUUUUCUUCUUUAGUUCAUAAUCAAUUCAACUUUUUUUUUUUUUUAGGGUUGUGGAAUCAUCUGGUUCUUUGCAAUAACUUUGCAAAUUGUUUGAUUUUUGUUUACUUAAUUUGAAGUUUCUUUGCUAAACAUUUUAUUGUACGUAUCGAGUUUGGUUUCACCUUAUUUGAGUUUAUCCGAGUUUAAGUUUCCUCUCUUCGGGUUUAAUGUUCUUCUUUCUGUUGGGUUUUUUCAACAAAUGAGCUUAACGCGAGUUUUACUAUAAAUAACACACUAUCGAUUUAUGGACCCGUUUAAAAGUGAUCAAAUAAUGUUAAACGGAAUUGAACUUCAACUUUUUCUUUUUUUUUUUAGGGUUGUGGAAUCAUCUGGUUUUUUCUCUUUCAAAUGGUAUGAUAAUCCUUUGUUGCUUUGUCGGUAUCUGCCCCACAAUUUGUAGCAAUGUCUUCCAAUAACUUUGCAAAUUAUUUGAUUUUUGUUUACUUAAUUUGAAGUUUCUUUGCAGAACAUUUUAUUGUACGUAUCGAGUUUGGUUUCAGCUUAUUUGAGUUUAUCCGAGUUUAAGUUUUCUCUGUUCGGG
rnacentral:lncRNA from 1 species